AAAACCAAACCAGGACCUGUUAAACUUGGAUUUCUUUUCCUCUACAAGUGCUUCCACCCCAACAGGCAGCCGGUACAAUCUCCCGUCACCAUUAUUUCCCCUUGCGACACCAGUCUACAAAACAACACCAGCCAUAGUAUUGCUUCAACAUCACUCCACAAUUCUAGUGGAAAUGAAGUAAUUAACAAUAGUAACAGUUCAAAAGACGGCUCAAGUCUAAACAACUCACUCCCAGGAGCACCUCAAUCUAUCCCACAACGGCCAGUCUCCUAACCCAGAGUCAAGUCCAGCGUACCCCAGCUUCCCUCGCGUCCAAUCUCUGGUCGCUCCAGUCCAGCCUCCUUCACGUCUCGAUCAGACAGUAGUAGCAGUGUGACCUUCAACACGACAUCCAUGCCUGUUGGAUCCCCCCGAGGAUCAAGUCCUCUUACCAUUGGCAUGUCAGACACCAUUCCAUUAGCCAUCGCUUUCACAGAAACAAACAACGCCUAUUUCAAAAGAACUGAUGCUACAAGAUGCAUGGUUAAGAUUACAGGAAAUAUGAUGAUGUCAUUUCUUGCUGGAGUUGUUCGAGUUUUUACAGAGAAUCCUAAUCCUGCAUUACUGAGCUUCAAACUCAAAAACAUCUCCAAGUUAGAGAACACUAUGCUCAGUAAACAACUG